UACGGGGGGAGCAAGCGUUGUUCGGAUUUACUGGGCGUAAAGGGCGCGUAGGCGGCGUGGUAAGUCACUUGUGAAAUCUCUGAGCUUAACUCAGAACGGCCAAGUGAUACUGCUGUGCUAGAGUGCAGAAGGGGCAAUCGGAAUUCUUGGUGUAGCGGUGAAAUGCGUAGAUAUCAAGAGGAAUACCAGAGGUGAAGACGGGUUGCUAGGCUGACACUGACGCUGAGGCGCGAAAGCCAGGGGAGCAAACGGG
rnacentral:rRNA from 1 species